AAUGUUAUUUGGCUUUCAGCUCAUAGAGUGAGGCUAUUAUCCAUUGUAGCAAAGGGCCUUACCAAUUGUUGAGAAUUUAGCUCUGCACAUUGAUGAGGGGCACUUGCCCAUUGCAGUGGAGAGAGGCUUCAGCCUGAGGUAGAGUAAGGACAUAAAAUUAAAGAGGAAGGGAUUAUUGUCUAUUGGUGAGAGAACUCUUGCCCAUAUAGUUGAAGACACCCUUUGUGGUGUAGUGUUGUAAUAGUAAAUAUAUUGGGUUAUGUCUAGAGGAGAUUGAGAGGACUACUAAUGUAUUUACUAUGAACAGUUUUUUGUGUGGGUGUAAUUGAGUUUAUGGAUAUUAUAGUUUUGAGCUUGUAAUUAAUGAUUAUAUGAAUUGAUGAUAGUAUGGCAUGCCCGUGGUUGUGGAGAGGGUAAACCAUCUGAAUAUUGGUGUUUUAUAUAUUUGCUUUAUUUCUUUUGUAGUUUACACGCUUUCGCAGUACACAGCAUUAUUGUCUACGUUGGAAAUAUUUCUUGUCAAAGCACGCUAAAAACAAGCAAAAUGCGUUACAAGACAUCUUUAGUGUUCUUCCAAACAAAUCCAAUCUCCGUUAAAAAAAAAUGAAUCAGCAAACACUAAAGUAAUGCUCAUGUGUCACGGAAGCACCAUAAUUUUGAAGUUGAAAUAUAUAGGCAUUGAAUUUUUUUGAGGUGCAUUUAAUAAAUUAAGUUUUUCCAAUGAGCCAGAUUGCUACAUCUUAUAAUCCAGGCUCCAGUAGUUCUCCUGAUGAAGGUUUUGAAGGGCUUUGCAUGAAAUGAGCAUACAAGGACAUACUUCAUCCAAGGUUAAGCUCCAGAAAUCUCAACAUACAUGAAGAGUCAAAAAAAAAAAAAAAAAAAAAA
rnacentral:misc_RNA from 1 species